rnacentral:rRNA from 1 species
UACGUAGGGGGCAAGCGUUGUCCGGAUUUAUUGGGCGUAAAGAGCUCGUAGGUGGUUCGGUAAGUCGGAUGUGAAAUCUCCAGGCUCAACCUGGAGGGGUCAUUCGAUACUGCCGUGACUAGAGUUCGGUAGGGGAGUGUGGAAUUCCUGGUGGAGCGGUGAAAUGCGCAGAUAUCAGGAGGAACACCGGUGGCGAAGGCGGGUCUCUGGGCCGAAACUGACGCUGAGGAGCGAAAGCGUGGGGAGCAAACGGG